UGGGGAAUAUUGCACAAUGGGGGAAACCCUGAUGCAGCAACGCCGCGUGAAGGAAGAAGGGUUUCGGCUCGUAAACUUCUAUCAAUCGGGACGAAGAAAGUGACGGUACCGAAAUAAGAAGCCCCGGCUAACUACGUGCCAGCAGCCGCGGUAAUACGUAGGGGGCAAGCGUUAUCCGGAAUUACUGGGUGUAAAGGGAGAGUAGGCGGCAUGGUAAGUAAGAUGUGAAAGCCCUGGGCUUAACCUGGGGAUUGCAUUUUAAAACUAUCAAGCUAGAGUACAGGAGAGGAAAGCGGAAUUCCUAGUGUAGCGGUGAAAUGCGUAGAUAUUAGGAAGAACACCAGUGGCGAAGGCGGCUUUCUGGACUGAAACUGACGCUGAGGCUCGAAAAGCGUGGGGAGCAAACAGGAUUAGAUACC
rnacentral:rRNA from 1 species